rnacentral:rRNA from 1 species
UGCCAGACUCCUACGGGAGGCAGCAGUGGGGGAUAUUGCACAAUGGGGGAAACCCUGAUGCAGCGACGCCGCGUGUGGGAAGACGGUCCUCUGGAUUGUAAACCACUGUCCCCAGGGACGAAGAUGACGGUACCUGGGGAGGAAGCUCCGGCUAACUACGUGCCAGCAGCCGCGGUAAUACGUAGGGAGCGAGCGUUGUCCGGAUUUACUGGGUGUAAAGGGGGCGUAGACGGCAAUGCAAGCCAGAUGUGAAAGCCCGGGGCUCAACCCCGGGACUGCAUUUGGAACUGUGUAGCUGGAGUGUCGGAGAGGCAGGCGGAAUUCCUAGUGUAGCGGUGAAAUGCGUAGAUAUUAGGAGGAACACCAGUGGCGAAGGCGGCCUGCUGGACGAUGACUGACGUUGAGGCUCGAAAGCGUGGGGAGCAAACAGGAUUAGAUACCCCAGUACUC